UGAGGCUGUGGGGUGUCAGGCUGAGGCUGUGGGGUGUCAGGCUGAGGCUGUGGGGUGUCAGGCUGAGGCUGUGGUGUGUCUGGCUGAGGCUGUGGGGUGUCAGGCUGAGGCUGUGGGGUGUCAGGCUGAGGAUGUGGGGUGUCAGGCUGAGGCUGUGGGGUGUCAGGCUGAGGCUGUGGUGUGUCUGGCUGAGGCUGUGGGGUGUCAGGCUGAGGCUGUGGGGUGUCAGGCUGAGGCUGUGGGGUGUCAGGCUGAGGCUGUGGUGUGUCUGGCUGAGGCUGUGGGGUGUCAGGCUGAGGCUGUGGGGUGUCAGGCUGAGGAUGUGGGGUGUCAGGCUGAGGCUGUGGGGUGUCAGGCUGAGGCUGUGGUGUGUCUGGCUGAGGCUGUGGGGUGUCAGGCUGAGGCUGUGGUGUGUCUGGCUGAGGCUGUGGGGUGUCAGGCUGAGGCUGUGGGGUGUCAGGCUGAGGAUGUGGGGUGUCAGGCUGAGGCUGUGGUGUGUCAGGCUGAGGUUGUGGUGUGUCUGGCCUGGAGUCAGGCUGAGGCUGUGGUGUGUCAGGCUGUGGACCUGACGUGGACUUGAGUUAAAAUGAAGAGUAGCAAUGUAUAAUUCCAAAUGAUAUCAAGCUGAAUAAUUAAAAAAUGUAUUUAAGACUCAGUUAUGGCUACACUCUACAUGAAAGUCACAGGUAACGAUUUCAGUGCUGGAGUAGUAGUACCGGACCAACUGAAGCACUAUUAUUAGGUCAGUCCAAUUCUCCCAAACUCAGACAGAAGGUUGUCACCAUCUGCCACUAAACCAAAGCCAUGCGCCACAUCUUGUCCGUGCAUCCCCCCUUUGACAGCUUCCUGGUCCCUGCCCCCUACUUAGCACAGCCACUGUCAGGAUCUGUGCCAUGUCUGUCUGUUUUGGUGCUAUUUCUGUUCUUAGCCUCUAGAUGGCGUUUUGAACCGGAGGAGAGGUGACAGGUGUUCUCUAUCUCCUUGAUGAUCUACUGAGGAGUAUUUAAGGAGGAGGCUGCCAGCAACUCACUGCCAGAGUGUUGCCCUUUGUGGUACAGCUCCAGCCGCAUUACAUUGCCUUUGCCUUGACCUUGCUUUGCUCUUUGUAAUUUUGGAUUUAUUGCCUUGCAGGUCACCUGAACCUGACUUUGCCUUCAGCAUUGAACCCUGCCUGGAUUACCGUCUUCUGGAAAGAAGCAUCCAGCUCCAUGAACCAAGACUCAAGCCUCCUGUUUUCUCAUUAGAUCAAACCAGCUGGCAGUCUCCUGAUUCCUUCGUUCUGUGGAUCUACCUCUGUGAACCCUGUCCACCCUCCUCCUUCCAUUGCACCAACUACAGAAACUCUUGGACCAUCAAUCAUACUGGCACACCAGUGUUCACUGUCUCCGGUCCCACGGGUAAAAAACCUCCUGGUCUCUCCACCCCCCUCUGGCAGAUCUCUCCCUCAAACCAUGUGUGUCCCGGUUCCAGUCUCCUGCACUUUUCAACAUGCAUUUAAUAAACUUCUUAUCAUUAAAA